GCCUGGGUGGCUCAGUCGGUUAAGCAUCUGACUUCAGCUCAGGUCAUGAUCUCACAGUCUGUGAGUUCGAGCCCUGCUUCGGGCU
rnacentral:tRNA from 1 species